AUUGAACGCUGGCGGCAGGCCUAAUACAUGCAAGUCGAACGAGUGGCGGACGGGUGAGUAAUGUCGGGGAAACUGGCUGAUGGAGGGGGAUAACUACUGGAAACGGUAGCUAAUACCGCAUACCAUGAGAUGUUCCUAGACGGGAUUGGCUAGUUGGUGGGGAAAAGGCUCACCAAUGCGACGAUCCCUAGCCGGUCGGAGAGGAUGACCAGCCACACUGGAACUGAGUAACGACCCAGACUCCUACGGGAGGCAGCAUUGGGGAAUAUUGCACAAUGGGCGCAAGCCUGAUGCAGCCAUGCCGCGUGUAUGAAGAAGGCCUUCGGGUUGUAAAGUACUUUCAGCGGGGAGGCGUUACCCGCAGAAGAAGCACCGGCUAACUCCGUGCCAGCAGCCGCGGUAUUC
rnacentral:rRNA from 1 species